CGGGGCGUGGCGCAGCGGUAGCGCGCAUGGUUUGGGACCAUGAGGUCGUGAGUUCGAUCCUCACCGCCCCGA
rnacentral:tRNA from 1 species